UGAUGAAGAUAGAAUUGUAUAAUAUAUUAUAUCUUUAAUUAUUGAUUUGUCUUGUUGGUCAAGUUAGUUUGUUUCCUUUUAGAUGUUUAGGGUUUUAUUAUAAAUAGGAGUUUUAUUUAUGUUUUAGGGGAGUCGAAUUGAGAGUUAAAAUGUAGAGGGUGGGAUUGUUCCCUUCUCGCGGUGUUCUUCCGGUAUUCAUGAGUGAAUCAACGGAUUAACC
rnacentral:lncRNA from 1 species